rnacentral:rRNA from 2 species
GUGACCUCAAAUCAGGUAGGACUACCCGCUGAACUUAAGCAUAUCAAUAAGCGGAGGAAAAGAAACUAACAAGGAUUCCCCUAGUAACUGCGAGUGAAGCGGGAAAAGCUCAAAUUUAAAAUCUGGCAGUCCUUUAACUGCCCGAGUUGUAAUCUAGAGAAGUGUUAUCUGUGCUGGACCAUGUACAAGUCUUCUGGAAUGGAGCAUCAUAGAGGGUGAGAAUCCCGUCUUUGACAUGGACUGCCAGGACUUUGUGAUGCACUCUCAAAGAGUCGAGUUGUUUGGGAAUGCAGCUCAAAAUGGGUGGUAAAUUCCAUCUAAAGCUAAAUAUUGGCAAGAGACCGAUAGUGAACAAGUACCGUGAGGGAAAGAUGAAAAGAACUUUGGAAAGAGAGUUAAACAGUAUGUGAAAUUGCUGAAAGGGAAACACUUGAAGUCAGUCACAUUGUCCAGGGAUCAUCCCUUGCUUUUGCUUGGUGUACUUUCUGGUUGAUGGGUCAGCAUCAAUUUUGACUAUUGGAAAAAGGUUGAGGGAAUGUGGCAUCUUAGGAUGUGUUAUAGCCCUUGGUUGCAUAUAAUAGUUGGGAUUGA